rnacentral:lncRNA from 1 species
GUGACAUCACAUCAUGAGUUGCCUGAGGUUCUCCAUGCCUUGCCCCUAGGAGUCUCCUUUGCAACCAAAAGGAGAACAAAAACCUGCUCGGCAGUACAUGUGCAGGGGCUGGAAACUCCUGCUGAUGUCACACCUACCCUUAAAAGGCUCUGCACCCUUGAAACUGCAACCUGAAUGCUGCAAGCCUGAAGGAACCAAAGUCCAUGAAGAGUCAUUCAGCCCCACAAAAGUCCCCUUUCACUUUAAAGACAACCCACAAAGCAAGCACUUGAAGGGAAAGGUCAUUCUUGGUGGGCCUGGAGUCCUUUGCUCCUGUGUAAGCAGCAGGGCACAGGCAGACGAUGGAGACUGAUGGGAGGCCCGGGAUUUAAAUGUGCUCAUGAAAAGCCAGG